rnacentral:tRNA from 1 species
GGGGGUGUAGCUCAGUGAUAGAGCACUUGCCUAGCAUGCAUGAAGCUCUGGGUCAAAACCCCAGCACUUCAA